UAGAGUUUGAUCGUGGCUCAGGACGAACGCUGGCGGCGUGCCUAAUACAUGCAAGUCGAGCGGACAGAUGGGAGCUUGCUCCCUGAUGUUAGCGGCGGACGGGUGAGUAACACGUGGGUAACCUGCCUGUAAGACUGGGAUAACUCCGGGAAACCGGGGCUAAUACCGGAUGCUUGAUUGAACCGCAUGGUUCAAUUAUAAAAGGUGGCUUUUAGCUACCACUUACAGAUGGACCCGCGGCGCAUUAGCUAGUUGGUGAGGUAACGGCUCACCAAGGCGACGAUGCGUAGCCGACCUGAGAGGGUGAUCGGCCACACUGGGACUGAGACACGGCCCAGACUCCUACGGGAGGCAGCAGUAGGGAAUCUUCCGCAAUGGACGAAAGUCUGACGGAGCAACGCCGCGUGAGUGAUGAAGGUUUUCGGAUCGUAAAACUCUGUUGUUAGGGAAGAACAAGUACCGUUCGAAUAGGGCGGUACCUUGACGGUACCUAACCAGAAAGCCACGGCUAACUACGUGCCAGCAGCCGCGGUAAUACGUAGGUGGCAAGCGUUGUCCGGAAUUAUUGGGGCGGUUA
rnacentral:rRNA from 1 species